CUCUUGUGGUAUUCCCGUCAUCCAUGCAAAACGUACUCAGUGGGUCCUGGAUGACCCAGAUAGAGAUAGAGAGGCUAUCUCUCUAUACACCGACGGAUCUAAGAUGCAUUGCAGUGUGGUAGCGGAAAUUCUAGCUAUCCUUGAAUCCUGCAAAAUCUUUGGUAAUAUAGUCGCGUACAAGAAUAAAACAAAAAUAUACUCUGACAGCCAGGUGGCGCUAUUGGCAAUAGCAUCACCGGUUACCAAAUCUAAGCUAGUUAGCGAAUGCAAAAUGGUACUGCGUUCAGGGCCCCAGCCAACUACCGUCUCUCUUGUCUGGGUCUUGGACAUAGGAACAUAAAAGGCAAUGACAAGACUGAUGAAUGAGCGAAGGCAGGCGGUGGUUUGUAUGAAUACCAAGCAUUGCCCCCUUGAAAUAGUCCAAAGAGAGAUUACCACGCAUUUUCUUGAACUGGCUUGACACAAGAGGUCCGAUAUACAGAUCUGUUGUAUAUCAAAAAAAUUCUGGGCUAACUACAACAGGAUGAAGACCUUCGAUCUGCCAAACGUUUCUAAAUUGUUUUCAGCGGGUGUGUUUAGGUAUGUACUUAGUUUACACAUAAAAAAUUCAUACAAGUCCCUAACAGGCGCCACUAACCGCACAAAAGUGAGUUGACUAAGUAAAUGAAGUCAAUGGAAGUCGGUGGAAGGUGUAGACGUGGGAGGUGGGAGGCGGCCUUUUUAAAGAAGGAAAAAGCGAGAGAUAAUCAUUGGUGUUGGCGACGAGCAUUUAUCGUCACCAAUAAGUUGACAGAGCUCAGCUAGCAGGGACUUUGUGUACACACCAAACUUAUGCUGGUUGGUUAGUGGAUGAAGAAAUGAGCACAUUUGGGGUUUUCGUUAGAUGAUGGAGAGGGUUCGGGGGCAUUGUCGAUGAAAAUGUAAUAUGCGAAAAGAAAACCAAAUAAAAGAUUAAAGAAGAAAAAGAGCACAUUUGAACGAUACAGCGGAAUAAGUUGAAAGAAAGAAAGCAAUAGGAAAUAUUUUUCUUUCGCAGCAAAUUUUCCGCAUUAUACGCUUGGCUUACUCAUCGAGCGAUUUAUUCAUAUACUUUUUCAUAUAAAUUCAUACUUAUGAAGGAAGCAUUUUCUUCGUGGCAAUAGAAGCUUGUAGAUAUGUACAUAUGUACAUAUGUAUGGGCGCAGCACCUUGACUGUCACAAUGCGAGCGUGUAGCGUGUGAAUGCGCCAACGCUCCACUGAGUAAUGACUGCAGAACGAGUGCGCGAUGCUGCUAAUGGGGGAGCAGCGCCUGUAUUAUUGAUACGAUGUUGAGCCACACCGCAGCCGGACGAAGUGGCAAUAGUAAGUAGCAAACAAAAGCAAGCAACUAAUCGAAAAAGUGAUACAAAAUUGACACAACAACCAAAACAAAGAAAAAUUUAGUUAGCUGUUUGGUUCACCAUGGGACGGACCAUUUACCAGUUACAGAGGUGGUCGAACAACCGACGCAGCUACACAAUGACGAUGCACAGUCUACAAAAUGUAACAGGAGCUGAGUUGUGGACAAGCAGUUGCUUAUUACAACAAAUGCGAAUAUUAUGGAUAAAUUCGCUAUAGAAAGAACGGAAUCGGGGGAAAUGUCCAACACUUACCUUCCUCAACUGUCCGCAGCCAACAGCAGCAGCUGUUCAACCACCGUACAGUGGUGAAAUGCCGUUGUGCCUGCCAUUGAACAGGUUCGCAGCAAUGAUGUGGAGCCAAACGCAAACGGCGAUGUUUACAAAUACACAAUAUUUUUUCGUAUAAGUAUUAGUAUGUAUACUUAAAUAAAUUGCCACAUCCAAUA
rnacentral:lncRNA from 1 species